CUGUCGUUCAAUGGUGCUCUUCUCCAACCCUGGAAUGUCCCAGGUCUUAGGACGGCAACAGAGGAAGGAACCUGAAACAGUAUGAGAUCAGGGAUUCGGAGUGCGUGGUGGAGAGAGGCCCCGAGAGGGACAACAUCACCAAAAGGAACGAAGGCCUGACGCGCAAUUCCACCAUGACGCCCACUGAAGUCGUGAUCGUCCAGUUUUUUGUUAUGAAUGUGAUUUUAUGUAUAUAUGUGUGUGUUGGUUAUUAUUUGAUUUGAUCCCUUGAGGACAAACUUUUAUUGUUGACUGAUUUUGUUUUUGCUCAUUUAGUUUCGCGAACCAUUGACAGAGCUGUGAAUAACCCGGAUGAUAGGUUUGAAGUAUAAUUCUAUUGUGCCUUCAGCAAGGGGGGAUGUCAUGACCCAAAGGUCUGAUCCUUUGUGUGUGCUUUGGCACUAAGAAUUAUCCCCGUGGGUUUACAGCUUCAUUGCACGGAGGAGUUCUGCUGCGCAGAGAACCCGCGUGCAAAGGAGUGUUCCCGCCACUUUGCAGCUGUCUUUGCAGGGUGCAUUUUCUUUGCAACACAGAAAUGCACGGUGCAAAGAGUUCCCGCUCAUUGUAUGCAAAUUCGUGCCCUGCAAUUGGCUAGUGCUAAAUUAUUCCCACGUUGCGGCUAGCGAUUGGCCUGCUAGCCAUAUAAGAGGCUUGAGCAGUUUCCGCCCAAGCCGAAGAGGACUCCGCAUCCAUCUCAUGGGGACUCUGGGUGUGCGCGGCAGGGUAAUAGAAACCCUGUUUGUUGCUCAGAGGAGUUUGGCGGCCUGAUCCACCGCCCACCUCUUCCCGUCUUCGAACAGAGCCUUCUAUAAGACGUAUUGACGAGUUUUAUGCGCUCUUGUCCUGGACAUCCGGAGUUCUGUCUGCGUGGAGCCUAGCAAACUCCAUGUGAUUGUUCGAGUUCUGUCUGCGUGGAGCCUAGCAAACUCCACAUGUGUUCGUGUUUUCUGUUGUAACCGCAACUCAAGAAAGUUCUCAGCCUGCACCGCGACCAUCUCGGUGUAAGUAAACAAUCUUAAAAUCAA